AGUGCUUUAAGUUAAAUGAAACUAUAAACCUUCAAAGUUUAAAAUAAAGUAAGUUUAAGCUCUA
rnacentral:tRNA from 1 species